rnacentral:misc_RNA from 1 species
CAACAACUCUCCAUUUCGCCAUUUUUCUGUGCUUCGAUUUUUCUUGCUUCUCUCUGCACUCUCCAUUUUCGAUCUUCUUUCUGAUUACUUCGUUCGGAAGGAGGGAGAUCACAAACCAUGGCUUUCCAGAAGAUCAAGGUCGCCAAUCCCAUCGUUGAGAUGGACGGAGAUGAAAUGACUCGAGUUAUCUGGGAAUCAAUUAAGAAUAAGCUCAUUUUCCCCUUCUUGGAAUUGGACAUCAAGUAUUUUGACCUCGGCCUUCCACACCGUGAUGCCACAGAUGAUAAAGUUACAAUUGAAAGUGCAGAAGCUACUUUAAAGUACAAUGUAGCAAUCAAAUGUGCAACAAUCACUCCAGAUGAGGCACGUGUUAAGGAAUUUGGCUUGAAGCAGAUGUGGAGAAGUCCGAAUGGGACAAUCAGGAAUAUUCUGAAUGGUACUGUUUUCAGAGAACCAAUUCUUUGCAAAAAUGUUCCUCGCCUUGUACCAGGUUGGACGAAGCCUAUCUGUAUUGGAAGACAUGCUUUUGGUGAUCAAUACAGAGCUACUGAUACAGUUAUUAAAGGACCUGGAAAAUUGAAAUUAGUUUUUGAGGGGCAAGAGACGCAAGAGAUAGAGGUUUUCAAUUUUACUGGUGCUGGAG